rnacentral:rRNA from 1 species
UACGAAGGUCCCAAGCGUUAUCCGGAUUUAUUGGGUUUAAAGGGUGCGUAGGCGGGCUAUUAAGUCAGUGGUGAAAGCCCCAAGCUUAACUUGGGAACUGCCAUUGAUACUGAUGGUCUUGAGUACAUUUGAGGUGGGCGGAAUGUGUCAUGUAGCGGUGAAAUGCUUAGAUGUGACACAGAACACCGAUUGCGAAGGCAGCUCACUAAACUGUAACUGACGCUGAGGCACGAAAGCGUGGGGAGCAAACAGG